rnacentral:tmRNA from 1 species
GGGGACGACCUGGCUUCGACGUGGGGUUGCAAUUCCUGAAGUGCAUGUCGAGCUCUUCGGUAACUCGUUAAACUGCUGAUAAACUAUAAACGCUGAAAAUAAACCUUUAGCCCUAGCAGCCUAACUGCCGCUAGCUUCACUAAGAGUAGGCUUAUAUGCUCUUUACUGAAGUCAUAAUGAUAAGACCGCAGUACAU